rnacentral:rRNA from 1 species
GACGAACGCUGGCGGCGUGCUUAACACAUGCAAGUCGAACGAAGUGGCGAACGGGUGCGUAACGCGUAAUAAACCUGCCCUUCGGAGGGGGACAACAGUUGGAAACGACUGCUAAUACCGCAUACGGAAGAAGGGGAUUGGUUAUGAUUGGCUAGUUGGGGGGGUAACGGCCCACCAAGGCGAUGAUCAGUAGCCGGUCUGAGAGGAUGAACGGCCACAUUGGGACUGAGACACGGCCCAGACUCCUACGGGAGGCAGCAGUGGGGAAUCUUCCGCAAUGGACGAAAGUCUGACGGAGCAACGCCGCGUGAGUGAUGACGGCCUUCGGGUUGUAAAGCUCUGUUAAUCGGGACGCGGUACCGGAAUAGAAAGCCACGGCUAACUACGUGCCAGCAGCCGCGGUAAUUC